rnacentral:rRNA from 1 species
CCUACGGGUGGCAGCAGUGGGGGAUAUUGCACAAUGGAGGAAACUCUGAUGCAGCGACGCCGCGUGAGUGAAGAAGUAGUUCGGCAUGUAAAGCUCUAUCAGCAGGGAAGAAAAUGAUGGUACCUGACCAAGAAGCCCCGGCUAACUACGUGCCAGCAGCCGCGGUAAUACGUAGGGGGCAAGCGGUAUCCGGAUUUACUGGGUGUAAAGGGAGCGUAGACGGUUAUGUAAGUCUGGAGUGAAACCCCGGGGCCCAACCCAGGGACUGCUUUGGAAACUGGUGAACUGGAGUACAGGAGGGGCAGGCGGAAUUCCUGGUGUAGCGGUGAAAUGCGUAGAUAUUAGGAGGAACACCAGCGGCGAAGGCGGCCUGCUGGACUGAAACUGACGUUGAGGCUCGAAAGCGUGGGGAGCAAACAGGAUUAGAUACCCCUGUAGUC